UACGGAGGGGACUAGCGUUGUUCGGUAUUACUGGGCGUAAAGCGCACGUAGGCGGAUUUGUAAGUCAGGGGUGAAAUCCCGGGGCUCAACCUCGGAACUGCCUUUGAUACUGCAAAUCUCGAGUCCGGAAGAGGUGAGUGGAAUUCCUAGUGUAGAGGUGAAAUUCGUAGAUAUUAGGAAGAACACCAGUGGCGAAGGCGGCUCACUGGUCCGGUACUGACGCUGAGGUGCGAAAGCGUGGGGAGCAAACAGG
rnacentral:rRNA from 1 species